rnacentral:rRNA from 1 species
UGGGGAAUAUUGGACAAUGGGCGCAAGCCUGAUCCAGCCAUGCCGCGUGAGUGAAGAAGGCCUUAGGGUUGUAAAACUCUUUCGCCGGGGAAGAUAAUGACGGUACCCGGAGAAGAAGCUCCGGCUAACUUCGUGCCAGCAGCCGCGGUAAUACGAAGGGAGCUAGCGUUGUUCGGAAUUACUGGGCGUAAAGCGCACGUAGGCGGACUUGUCAGUCAGGGGUGAAAUCCCAAGGCUCAACCUUGGAACUGUCUCCGAUACAGCAAGCCUAGAGAUCGGGAGAGGUGAGUGGAAUUCCUAGUGUAGAGGUGAAAUUCGUAGAUAUUAGGAAGAACACCAGUGGCGAAGGCGGCUCACUGGCCCGAUACUGACGCUGAGGUGCGAAAGCGCGGGGAGCAAACAGGAUUAGAUACCCCCGUAGUCCCUGAGCGGGCUGGCAAGGCGCAU